GAGCAGAAAACACUUCAGGCUGCCUGCGGCAAUCCUGGGUUGGGCCACCCCAUUUCUGCUGACAGUGUGACACCACGCAGAGAGAGCCUCGGACGCUCCGUUCCCGGAGUCCUGACUUACGGGAGUCCCAACAAGCUAGAUGUGGCCAGUCACCCCCAAAAUCAAGGGAAAAAAGUAGAGACACAGGAUCUCACACCAGUUGGUCAUCACACGCUAUUGCUGGUCGAGUCUGGGAGAAUCGGAAUAAUACACAAUGGUUAAGAAUCAGACCAACAUCGGUUUCUCCACGUUGAAAUAAGCAAACAGUUAAAUAAAUAAGCCGUCAAGGGAAGAAGGGCACUUUCUCCUCCACUUGGGGGAGAAGGGGGGAAGGAAUGCUGUAAAUAGGAAAGGCAGGCUUUGGCUGACUUCACAGUAGUAAGGGUAGAGGAUGAUGUAUGAAAGCUAAAGGUAGUGGUAGGAUAUGACAGACAAAAGACAUCGCAUUUUCUCAGAUGUCUCUUCACACGGCAUGUUGAUUUCAAAGGAGAAUGGAGUGACUUUGCUUGUAACCAAUCCAUUGGGCGCCACCUAAUCCAAGUGAUCAUCUUACUGUCAUCAGGAACAGAGGCAACAGCCUCCUGCCCCCCUGCGGGAGUGACUGAGGACACAAUGUCUCCUCAGUGGCGUUCUUGACCAACACACAGACCCACAAUCUAAUCAUGAAACAUACCAGACACACCCAAUGUGAGGAACGUUCUGCAAAGUAACCGGCCACUGAUCUUCAAAAAUGUCACAGUCAUGAAGGACAAAGAAUGAGGAAGCUGUCUCAGAUCACAGGAGACCAUGGACACAGGCCAGCUCAAUACAGGGUCUCGGGUUGGAAAAAGAACACCAGCAAAACAAUUGGCAAACGUUAGCUAAUGUCUGGAGAUAAGUUAACACUAUUAUACUUCUGUUCCGUA